AAUCAAAUUUCAAAGCCCCAAAUCACAGUAGUAACUCUAAACUGAAUCUGAUUUCCACCAAAUAUGACUUCAACGACGCCUCCUCAUGAUCUUCCUCUUCUGCAUGAUCAUGGCUUCAACUGCGGCAGGGCCUCGCAGGAGUGACCUCCGAGCUCCGGCAGCAGACGACGCGUGCAGACAUCACCAUCGCCCACCUGUUUCUUCUCCCGCUCCUCACUCCGCGGUCCUCCUCCUCGAUCCACGACCCUUUCCAGGUGCUUGAUAACCAGAUCCUGGGCUACCAAAGUCUCCGGCCGUAAAGAAAAACCGAUUUCCCACAAAGAGACAAAGCCGGCUCUCGCGUCGGCCGCGCCGUAGAUUGAACUGGGCUGAUCACUUUGUGAGUUUAGUUCAGUUCCUUUAUAUUCUGCCCAUCCCUUUUGAUCAUAACCGAGCUGUUUUACUAAGCUCGCCAGCAUGUCAUGAAAUCUUGGCUACCUUAUUUAUCUAGGGAAUGGAUGAGCUCCGUUAAAGAUUCGCCGGUUAUCCCACGCUUAUCCCUUCACAAAAUCUUAUGGAUGCUAUUAAGAUAAACCAGGCGAAUAUCAUGGGAAGAAGAUGAACCAGCCGGCGAAUAUCAUGGGAAGAAGAUAAACCAGCCGAUUAUCGUGGAAAUCAAAACCGUGUACUAUUUUUCUAUAUAUAUGUGUCCUGUAAUUCCUUGAAAAAUAAUCACUAAUGAAGCUAUUCUCUUUCUUUUCUUUUCUCUUCUCUUUCCUUUCUCUCACUCGAUACCCAACUCACUCUCGUUCCUUCUGCUCCUCUAUCUCGACCAGCGGUCGGACCGCUUCUUUCACAAGCAGAUUUUAACAUGGUAUCAGAGAGUGGUUUACUUGAGCAGUUGGAGUUGAUUCAUGCGAGAAUGGAAGACGAUUGAGCUGCUGUCGGAAUUCUGCAGCGGCUGCUCUCUGCCUUGCCUCCUUCUUGUCUCACUACCGCUAACUCUCCGACCACACCCUUCACGUUCUCCUCACUUCAGAGGAAGGACAUUGAUGCAGCCGUAGAACAGAGAAAUUCCAGCGUCUGAUUGCCAUUGCGGCUCUGUUUCCCCAAAUAACAACUGGAUUUGGGUACUUCUAAGCAACGCCCAAUUUUCUGUGGAGGUGAUUCGGGCGUUGAAGAACAGGGGCGACCCGACGGAACCCAGCGACCAAAUUCCCUGGCGCUGAUUUAUGGGAUGGAUUCAGAUGUCGAGCAAGCCAGCAUCAGAAUCGCUUAUCUCUGGAGAAAUUUCUAUGUCAUACGAGCUUGAGAACACGUUCUGUCGGCGACCUGUGGCCGAACUGUCUCCUUCUCCGAGAAGAAGUCGCUCCAUCAACGUCGUCUCUGUCACUUUAUCACCUCCACCACCAAAACUCCACCGGCGGCUCCUCUCUCUGUUUCAAGUUUUCUGGUGCCCUAUAUUACUUUGCUUGGCGGCGACUUCCACUCGACCGGAGACGUGAUCGGAGCCAACCGUUGUCAUGCAUGCUUGUAACUCGAGUGAGGGCACACAAGAUGGUGAUUCAAACAUGAAUUUUCGGCCACCACUAUUUGCAGCUACUAUUCAUAAUCCAAGGCCGGUGGACCUCCGUGCAAGCGAUGGUAUUUGUUUCUCUGGCAAUAGCCGUAAAGGUUCCAAGGAAGUUGUACCUUCAUUCACUAUAGAUGAGUAUCAUGAACUCUUAUCACUUAUUAGAAUUUCCUCUCCCUCUAUCAAUUUCACAGGUCAUAUAUCUUCAUCUACUAGAAUUUCCUCUACCUCUAUCAAUUUCACAGGUCAUAUAACUUCAUCUACUGUGUCUCAUCUUCCUUGGAUUAUCGAUUCUGCAGCAAGUCGGCACAUUUGUACAGAUAGGUCCCUACUUCAACAACCAAUCAAUUGUCAAGUACCCAUAAACUUACCCAAUGGACAUACAAUAACUGUCGAUCAAACCAGUGAUGUUAAACUACCAUCUUUUACUCUUGAAAAUUUCCUGACCUGACGUCGAGGACAACUAUUGGUCAUGGAAAAGAACGAGAAGGCAUAUAUGAACUCAGUCCAGUGAUUUCACCCACAAGCUGCUUUACUGUGGCCUCCUCCCAAGAUCUCUGGCAUAGGCGAUUCAGUCAUCUUUCUCUCUCUCGUCUUAAACUUGUUAAUUCUUAUAUAGAUUUGAAUUGUGAUUUGCAUACAAAAAUUUGUUGUGAUGCUUGUCAUCACGCAAAG